rnacentral:rRNA from 1 species
GAUGAACGCUGGCGGCGUGCCUAAUACAUGCAAGUCGAGCGAACAGACGAGGAGCUUGCUCCUCUGACGUUAGCGGCGGACGGGUGAGUAACACGUGGAUAACCUACCUAUAAGACUGGGAUAACUUCGGGAAACCGGAGCUAAUACCGGAUAAUAUAUUGAACCGCAUGGUUCAAUAGUGAAAGACGGUUUUGCUGUCACUUAUAGAUGGAUCCGCGCCGCAUUAGCUAGUUGGUAAGGUAACGGCUUACCAAGGCGACGAUGCGUAGCCGACCUGAGAGGGUGAUCGGCCACACUGGAGCUGAGACACGGUCCAGACUCCUACGGGAGGCAGCAGUAGGGAAUCUUCCGCAAUGGGCGAAAGCCUGACGGAGCAACGCCGCGCGAGUGAUGAAGGUCUUCGGAUCGUAAAACUCUGUUAUUAGGGAAGAACAAAUGUGUAAGUAACUAUGCACGUCUUGACGGUACCUAAUCAGAAAGCCACGGCUAACUACGUG